rnacentral:rRNA from 1 species
GAUGAACGCUAGCUACAGGCUUAACACAUGCAAGUCGAGGGGAAACGAUAGAGAAAGCUUGCUUUUUCUAGGCGUCGACCGGCGCACGGGUGAGUAACGCGUAUCCAACCUGCCCAUCACUUGGGGAUAACCUUGCGAAAGUAAGACUAAUACCCAAUGACGUCCAUAGAAGACAUCUGAAAUGGAUUAAAGAUUUAUCGGUGAUGGAUGGGGAUGCGUCUGAUUAGCUUGUUGGCGGGGUAACGGCCCACCAAGGCGACGAUCAGUAGGGGUUCUGAGAGGAAGGUCCCCCACAUUGGAACUGAGACACGGUCCAAACUCCUACGGGAGGCAGCAGUGAGGAAUAUUGGUCAAUGGCGAGAGCCUGAACCAGCCAAGUAGCGUGCAGGAAGACGGCCCUAUGGGUUGUAAACUGCUUUUAUAUGGGGAUAAAGUGAGCUACGUGUAGUUUAUUGCAGGUACCGUAUGAAUAAGGACCGGCUAAUUCCGUGCCAGCCGCCGCCGUAA